rnacentral:rRNA from 1 species
CCUACGGGUGGCAGCAGUGGGGAAUAUUGGACAAUGGGGGCAACUCUGAUCCAGCCAUGCCGCGUGUGUGAAGAAGGCCCUCGGGUUGUAAAGCACUUUCAGUGAGGAAGAACGCCUGGUGGUUAAUACCCAUCAGGAAAGACAUCACUCACAGAAGAAGCACCGGCUAACUCCGUGCCAGCAGCCGCGGUAAUACGGAGGGUGCGAGCGUUAAUCGGAAUUACUGGGCGUAAAGCGCGCGUAGGUGGCUUGAUAAGCCGGUUGUGAAAGCCCCGGGCUCAACCUGGGAACGGCAUCCGGAACUGUCAAGCUAGAGUGCAGGAGAGGAAGGUAGAAUUCCCGGUGUAGCGGUGAAAUGCGUAGAGAUCGGGAGGAAUACCAGUGGCGAAGGCGGCCUUCUGGACUGACACUGACACUGAGGUGCGAAAGCGUGGGUAGCAAACAGGAUUAGAUACCCUGGUAGUC